AGUGAACGCUGGCGGUAGGCCUAACUCAUGCAAGUCGAACGGCAGCACAGUAAGAGCUUGCUCUUACGGGUGGCGAGUGGCGGACGGGUGAGGAAUACAUCGGAAUCUACUUUUUCGUGGGGGAUAACGUAGGGAAACUUACGCUAAUACCGCAUACGACCUACGGGUGAAAGCAGGGGAUCUUCGGACCUUGCGCGAUUGAAUGAGCCGAUGUCGGAUUAGCUAGUUGGCGGGGUAAAGGCCCACCAAGGCGACGAUCCGUAGCUGGUCUGAGAGGAUGAUCAGCCACACUGGAACUGAGACACGGUCCAGACUCCUACGGGAGGCAGCAGUGGGGAAUAUUGGACAAUGGGCGCAAGCCUGAUCCAGCCAUACCGCGUGGGUGAAGAAGGCCUUCGGGUUGUAAAGCCCUUUUUGUUGGGAAAGAAAAGCAGCAGGUUAAUACCCCGCUGUUCUGACGGUACCCAAAGAAUAAGCACCGGCUAACUUCGUG
rnacentral:rRNA from 1 species